rnacentral:rRNA from 1 species
GAUGAACGCUGGCGGCGUGCCUAAUACAUGCAAGUCGAGCGAACAGAUAAGGAGCUUGCUCCUUUGACGUUAGCGGCGGACGGGUGAGUAACACGUGGGUAACCUACCUAUAAGACUGGGAUAACUUCGGGAAACCGGAGCUAAUACCGGAUAACAUUUGGAACCGCAUGGUUCUAAAGUGAAAGAUGGUUUUGCUAUCACUUAUAGAUGGACCCGCGCCGUAUUAGCUAGUUGGUAAGGUAACGGCUUACCAAGGCGACGAUACGUAGCCGACCUGAGAGGGUGAUCGGCCACACUGGAACUGAGACACGGUCCAGACUCCUACGGGAGGCAGCAGUAGGGAAUCUUCCGCAAUGGGCGAAAGCCUGACGGAGCAACGCCGCGUGAGUGAUGAAGGGUUUCGGCUCGUAAAACUCUGUUAUUAGGGAAGAAAAAAUGUGUAAGUAACUGUGCACGUCUUGACGGUACCUAAUCAGAAAGCCACGGCUAACUACGUG